GGUGUGCAAUCGGUCGGUUUGGUUUUGCACAAAAAAAAAACUGGCAAAACCAAAAUACCCAAGUCCUAAAAAAUGUAAGCCGAACUGAACCGAUUUGAUAGAACAACUGAAUUUCCUCAGGUCAGAUUGCCGGUUUUCAACAGUGCAUUAGCAAAAUGCCUAUCAUCGUUUUCAAUUCCACAAAAUGCCCAAUGUGGGUUUCAAGUUUUAACCCACAAAAAUAUUUCAAUCCCACACAACUUACAUACAUAUAUAAAGCCCAAUUUGAUUAUUUUAG
rnacentral:misc_RNA from 1 species